UACGUAGGUGGCAAGCGUUGUCCGGAUUUACUGGGCGUAAAGAGCGCGCAGGCGGUCGUCCAAGUCGCGUGUGAAAGCCCCCGGCUCAACUGGGGAGGGUCACUCGAUACUGAUCGACUCGAAGGCAGGAGAGGGAAGUGGAAUUCCCGGUGUAGUGGUGAAAUGCGUAGAUAUCGGGAGGAACACCAGUGGCGAAGGCGACUUCCUGGCCUGUUCUUGACGCUGAGGCGCGAAAGCUAGGGGAGCAAACGGG
rnacentral:rRNA from 1 species